AACGAACGCUGGCGGCAGGCCUAACACAUGCAAGUCGAGGGGUAGAAGUUGCUUGCAACUUUGAGACCGGCGCACGGGUGCGUAACGCGUAUGUAAUCUACCUUAUACAGAGGGAUAGCCCAGAGAAAUUUGGAUUAAUACCUCAUAGUAUAAUUGAAUGGCAUCAUUUAAUUAUUAAAGUUCCAACGGUAUAAGAUGAGCAUGCGUCCUAUUAGCUAGAUGGUAAGGUAACGGCUUACCAUGGCAACGAUAGGUAGGGGUCCUGAGAGGGAGAUCCCCCACACUGGUACUGAGACACGGACCGGACUCCUACGGGAGGCAGCAGUGAGGAAUAUUGGACAAUGGGCGCAAGCCUGAUCCAGCCAUGCCGCGUGCAGGAAGAAGCAUCUAUGGUGUGUAAACUGCUUUUGUACAGGAAGAAACACCCCUUCGUGAAGGGACUUGACGGUACCGUAAGAAUAAGGAUCGGCUAACACCGUGCCAGCCGCCGCAGUAACAC
rnacentral:rRNA from 1 species